rnacentral:rRNA from 1 species
GAUGAACGCUGGCGGUAUGCUUAACACAUGCAAGUCGAACGGUACCUUCGGGUAUAGUGGCGGACGGGUGAGUAACGCGUGAGAAUCUAUCUUCAGGUCGGGGACAACAGUUAGAAAUGACUGCUAAUACCGGAUGUGCCGAAAGGUAAAAGAUUUAUUGCCUGAAAAAGAGCUCGCGUCAGAUUAGCUAGUAGGUGGUGUAAGAGACUACCUAGGCUUCGAUCUGUAGCUGGUCUGAGAGGACGAUCAGCCACACUGGAACUGAGACACGGUCCAGACUCCUACGGGAGGCAGCAGUGGGGAAUUUUCCGCAAUGGGCGAAAGCCUGACGGAGCAAUACCGCGUGAGGGACGAAGGCUCUUGGGUCGUAAACCUCUUUUCUCAAGGAAGAUUCAGACGGUACUUGAGGAAUAAGCAGCGGCUAACUCGGUG